rnacentral:rRNA from 1 species
GAUGAACGCUGGCGGCGUGCCUAAUACAUGCAAGUCGAGCGAACAGAUAAGGAGCUUGCUCCCUUGACGUUAGCGGCGGACGGGUGAGUAACACGUGGAUAACCUACCUAUAAGACUGGGAUAACUUCGGGAAACCGGAGCUAAUACCGGAUAACAUAUUGAACCGCAUGGUUCAAUAGUGAAAGGCGGCUUUGCUGUCACUUAUAGAUGGAUCCGCGCCGUAUUAGCUAGUUGGUAAGGUAACGGCUUACCAAGGCAACGAUACGUAGCCGACCUGAGAGGGUGAUCGGCCACACUGGAACUGAGACACGGUCCAGACUCCUACGGGAGGCAGCAGUAGGGAAUCUUCCGCAAUGGGCGAAAGCCUGACGGAGCAACGCCGCGUGAGUGAUGAAGGUCUUCGGAUCGUAAAACUCUGUUAUCAGGGAAGAACAAAUGUGUAAGUAACUGUGCACAUCUUGACGGUACCUGAUCAGAAAGCCACGGCUAACUACGUGCCAGCAGCCGCGGUAAUACGUAGGUGGCAAGCGUUAUCCGGAAUUAUUGGGCGUAAAGCGCGCGUAGGCGGUUUUUUAAGUCUGAUGUGAAAGCCCCACGGCUCAACCGUGGAGGGUCAUUGGAAACUGGAAAACUUGAGUGCAGAAGAGGAAAGUGGAAUUCCAUGUGUAGCGGUGAAAUGCGCAGAGAUAUGGAGGAACACCAGUGGCGAAGGCGACUUUCUGGUCUGUAACUGACGCUGAUGUGCGAAGGCGUGGGGAUCAAACAGGAUUAGAUACCCUGGUAGUCCACGCCGUAAACGAUGAGUGCUAAGUGUUAGGGGGUUUCCGCCCCUUAGUGCUGCAGCUAACGCAUUAAGCACUCCGCCUGGGGAGUACGACCGCAAGGUUGAAACUCAAAGGAAUUGACGGGGACCCGCACAAGCGGUGGAGCAUGUGGUUUAAUUCGAAGCAACGCGAAGAACCUUACCAAAUCUUGACAUCCUUUGACCACUCUAGAGAUAGAGUUUUCCCCUUCGGGGGACAAAGUGACAGGUGAUGCAUGGUUGUCGUCAGCUCGUGUCGUGAGAUGUUGGGUUAAGUCCCGCAACGAGCGCAACCCUUAAGCUUAGUUGCCAUCAUUAAGUUGGGCACUCUAAGUUGACUGCCGGUGACAAACCGGAGGAAGGUGGGGAUGACGUCAAAUCAUCAUGCCCCUUAUGAUUUGGGCUACACACGUGCUACAAUGGACAAUACAAAGGGCAGCUAAACCGCGAGGUCAAGCAAAUCCCAUAAAGUUGUUCUCAGUUCGGAUUGUAGUCUGCAACUCGACUACAUGAAGCUGGAAUCGCUAGUAAUCGUAGAUCAGCAUGCUACGGUGAAUACGUUCCCGGGUCU